UGAGUAGGCGGCCUGAUAAGUCAUGUGUGAAAGCCUGCGGCUUAACCGCAGGACUGCACAAGAAACUGUUUGGCUUGAGUACAGGAGAGGUAAGCGGAAUUCCUAGUGUAGCGGUGAAAUGCGUAGAUAUUAGGAAGAACACCGGUGACGAAGGCGGCUUACUGGACUGAAACUGACGCUGAGUCACGAAAGCGUGGGGAGCGAACAGGAUUAGAUACCCUGGUAGUCCACGCUGUAAACGAUGAGUGCUAGGUGUAGGUGAGAGAUCAUCUGCGCCGGAGCAAACGCAUUAAGCACUCCGCCUGGGGAGUACGGUCGCAAGACUGAA
rnacentral:rRNA from 1 species